GGGGCUAUGGCGCAGCUGGUAGCGCGUCUGCAUGGCAUGCAGAAGGUCACGGGUUCGAGUCCCGUUAGCUCCACCA
rnacentral:tRNA from 2 species